rnacentral:rRNA from 1 species
UUUUACUCCUACCGGAGGCAGCAGUGGGGAAUAUUGCACAAUGGGCGCAAGCCUGAUGCAGCGACGCCGCGUGAGGGAUGACGGCCUUCGGGUUGUAAACCUCUUUCAGUAGGGAAGAAGCGAAAGUGACGGUACCUGCAGAAGAAGCGCCGGCUAACUACGUGCCAGCAGCCGCGGUAAUACGUAGGGCGCAAGCGUUAUCCGGAUUUAUUGGGCGUAAAGAGCUCGUAGGCGGUUUGUCGCGUCUGCCGUGAAAGUCCGAGGCUCAACCUCGGAUCUGCGGUGGGUACGGGCAGACUAGAGUGAUGUAGGGGAGACUGGAAUUCCUGGUGUAGCGGUGAAAUGCGCAGAUAUCAGGAGGAACACCGAUGGCGAAGGCAGGUCUCUGGGCAUUUACUGACGCUGAGGAGCGAAAGCAUGGGGAGCGAACAGGAUUAGAUACCCUGGUAGUCCAUGCCGUAAACGUUGGGCACUAGGUGUGGGGGACAUUCCACGUUUUCCGCGCCGUAGCUAACGCAUUAAGUGCCCCGCCUGGGGAGUACGGCCGCAAGGCUAAAACUCAAAGGAAUUGACGGGGGCCCGCACAAGCGGCGGAGCAUGCGGAUUAAUUCGAUGCAACGCGAAGAACCUUACCAAGGCUUGACAUGUGCCAGAUCGCCUCAGAGAUGGGGUUGCCU